rnacentral:snRNA from 1 species
AAUGCUUUUAUAUGUUUGUUUAA